rnacentral:rRNA from 1 species
AAUAGAUACCCAGGUAGUCCACGCCGUAAACGAUGGGUGCUAGACGUUGGCGAGCUUGCUCGUCAGUGUCGCAGCUAACGCGUUAAGCACCCCGCCUGGGGAGUACGGCCGCAAGGUUGAAACUCAAAGGAAUUGACGGGGGCCCGCACAGGCGGUGGAGCAUGUGGUUCAAUUCGACGCAACGCGCAGAACCUUACCAGCCCUUGACAUGUGACUCGCCGGCUCCAGAGACGGAGCCUUCGGUUCGGCCGGAGUCAGCACAGGUGCUGCAUAGCUGUCGUCAGCUCGUGUCGUGAGAUGUUGGGUUAAGUCCCGCGACGAGCGCAACCCUCGUCUCCAGUUGCCAUCAGGUUAAGCUGGGCACUUUGGAGAAACUGCCGGUGACAAGCCGGAGGAAGGUGGGGAUGACGUCAAGUCCUCAUGGCCCUUACGGGCUGGGCUACACACGUGCUACAAUGGCGGUGACAGUGGGAUGCGAAGGGGCGACCCGGAGCCGAUCCCCAAAAACCGUCCCAGUUCGGAUUGCACUCG